AGGCAGGUCUGCCCACACCCUACCGAGGUCCCCAGUCGCACGAAACACACGCCGAAUCAGCCCGCUGCAGACAGGCAGGUCUGUGCACACCCUACCGAGGUCCUGAGUCUCGCGGAAAGACACCGAAUCACCCCGCUGCAGACAGGCAGCCACCUGAUUCCACACUACAAAGACGCAGAGGACACCAGACCACCAGACCAAGGACUCUAUUCCCCUGCAUUCUGUGAAAUGUCAGAUGUUCUCAAGGGAGAAGCCAGGAGGAGUUGAAACAAAUUUAAGAGUGUUUUUCUUUUUCCCCUAAACAUGAACCAUUCAAGUAAAAUCAACUGAACUAUAGAAAUGUAGCAAAGCAAAGGGAAACCACAACAACCCAAUCAGCAAAGGUUGGGGGGAAGAGGAGGGUACAGUUCACAUAUAACAUGUACAAAUGCCACAUGAUUCAUCUGCUCAGGACGGCCUCCUCAGAAGGCAAGCACAAGGACCCAUUGCAAGAGGAUGUUUCCCCCCAAACGUCUGAGAAUGUUUCAACUUAAAGCUUAAGAUUAAAA
rnacentral:lncRNA from 1 species